rnacentral:lncRNA from 7 species
CAGAAACGUCUCUUUUUAUUAAAUCACAUCUUAAAACCUAGAAACAUUCACGUCAUUGAAACCUGCUUAUCAUACACAAAGCAGCAGAUAGGCUCAGAGGAACACCAUGGGCGGCAGCGUGGCACAGGGCUGCCCCCAGCACAGAGCCAGCCCGCAGAAAUAGUUGAGAUAUUAAAAGCACGCUGACCUCCCAGGCCUGCAAGCAUGGUUUUUGCUGCGGCUGUUGCUUGGCAUCGCAACCGAAGUCGCCCAGUUCCAGGAAUAGUGUUGUUAAAGAACAACAGGAAGCACACAGUGGAAAAUCUGCGGCCCCUUCGUGCUCACUCAGGUACCAUUCCACUGCGUUUCCCUGCAGUGUGGCACACACAGCUCAGUUCCUUCAGUCCUCCCCAUCUCAACACCCAACAAAAGGAGGUCUCAUUUGGCGAGCAGUGUCAGGGGGAGCACAGUACACACAGCAGGGCCAGGAUGGGCUGUUUGCCUUCUGCAGUCAGAGGUUUCACUGGAGCUACGCAGACUGGUAUGAAUUUAUUGGUUUAAUGCAAUUAAAGGGCUGAUCUGCUAAUUCGUCUGCUUCCCAUCCCAGGCCUGGAGGCCAGCUGCAAAGGAAGCUGGCAGCUGCACUGUGAGGAGAGAUGCAAAGAGUUGUUAACAGUUUUCUGACUCUUUCUCUGUCCCUUAGGGCACCAUUUCUCUUCCUUCUCUUCCUUCCCAGCCAACGGAGAAAAGCCGUUCUAGGAAACCCUGUACAGGACAAGUGCCACAACCACAGAGAUGGGCAUCUCCAGCUUCUGGAGCAGGUGACUGAGCUGAUCCUGCUGGGCUGCUCCCAGUCUGAGCCCAGCAGAGCUCUCUACUGGCAUUCCUCAGCCCAGGUAAAGGGUUGGAGUCACAGCCUACACUGCCCCUCAGCAAGGAGGGCACAAACUCUGACACUUUGCUGAGGUGCACCCAUGUAGGUAUCCCAAUUUAUCCCACUUCUCUCCGGGUUAAACAGGACGUUCAUAGGAUGCUGUGGUUUCUCCUGCCCCCACUAAGAGCAAAUCCAACCCCUGGAGCCGCAGGAACAGCAGGCAAGCAGAAGGCCCAUGCUGGGGCAGAGCCCAAAGCACAGCGCAGCAGAAGGGCUGCAGAUCCCCUAGGAGAGCAGGUUAACAUGGGCACAGCCGUGCUGCAAACUGCUCCCGAGGAUCCCCUUCCUUACAGGGGAGCUCCAACUCAGACAGCAAUUACUGUGUGCGAGCAAAGUGGUUUCAUGGCUUCAGACAGACACAUAUACCAACAGCGCAGUUCAGAGCUGAAGGGAGCACAGAGAGGCCUUGGGAGGGACAGACCCCGCUCGGCUCCGACAGCAGCGUGCACACAGGUCAUGCCAUGCAGGCAGGUCCAGCUGAGGAGUCACAGGCUCUGUUUGUAAUGCUCACACUUUGUUUUUCACCCCAUUCUCUGCUGAUUCCUCCUUUCCCCAGCAGCCGCUUACAGAAUUCAAGAGGUUAAAAGGGGAAGAAUUCCCUUUUUUCUAUCUAACCAGUUAACACUUCAAUGACGCUAUUUGCACAGAAAACAUCAACACUCUUUUGUCUCCCCAGUCACAGCUCUGAGAGUGCUUCAUCUCGAGUCAAAAGAAUGCUACAACAGAAAUAAUACGCUCAUGUCAUAAACACCACAAACUAUGUUGAUUAUAAUCUUUGGAAAAGAGAGGGACGCAGUCACUGUCGUUGCACGGCACUGCAGUCAGCUGCAGCAGCACAACAGCGCGCUGUUUGUUCCAACACACGUCUUCC